CUACGGGCGGCAGCAGUGGGGAAUAUUGGACAAUGGGCGAAAGCCUGAUCCAGCAAUGCCGCGUGAGUGAUGAAGGCCUUAGGGUUGUAAAGCUCUUUUACCAGGGAUGAUAAUGACAGUACCUGGAGAAUAAGCUCCGGCUAACUCCGUGCCAGCAGCCGCGGUAAUACGGAGGGAGCUAGCGUUGUUCGGAAUUACUGGGCGUAAAGCGCGCGUAGGCGGCUUUUUAAGUCAGGGGUGAAAUCCCGGAGCUCAACUCCGGAACUGCCCUUGAAACUGGGAAGCUAGAAUAUUGGAGAGGUAAGUGGAAUUCCGAGUGUAGAGGUGAAAUUCGUAGAUAUUCGGAAGAACACCAGUGGCGAAGGCGACUUACUGGACAAUUAUUGACGCUGAGGUGCGAAAGCGUGGGGAGCAAACAGGAUUAGAUACCCGCGUAGUC
rnacentral:rRNA from 1 species